rnacentral:rRNA from 1 species
GACGAACGCUGGCGGCGUGCCUAAUACAUGCAAGUAGAACGCUGAAGAGAGGAGCUUGCUCCUCUUUGGUAAGAGGCGGACGGGUGAGUAACGCGUAGAUAACCUGCCUGUUAGCGGGGGAUAACUAUUGGAAACGAUAGCUAAUACCGCAUAAGAUUGAUUAUUGCAUUAUAAUUAAUUGAAAGAGACAACUGCAUCACUGCCAGCAGGACCUGCGUUGUCUUAGCUAGUUGUUGAGGUAACGGCUCACCAAGGCGACGAUACAUAGCCGACCUGAGAGGGUGAGCGGCCAAGGUGAGACUGAGACACGGACAAGACCCAUACGGGAGGAAGAGGUAGGGAAUCGUAGGCAAUGGGGGGAAGCCUGACCGAGAAACGCCGACUGAGUGAAGAAGGGUAUCGGCUCGUAAAGCUAUAUUGUAAGAGAAGAAGGGGUGUGAGAGUGGAAAGUUCACAUUGUGACGGUACCUAACCAGAAAGGCACGGCUAACUACGUG